AUGUUUGCAGGAAUGUAGUGCAAUCCUGGCACAACAGCGCCAUCUGUUGGCAAAACAGCGUAACAUCACAAGGCAGUUAGUUAGACUGUGAUUGUGUGUGCAUGCAGUCAGUUGGACAAAUAAACGUCGUGACCGAAGCACGUCGUUGUGAGCCUCGUGCAUAACAUGAAACCCACAAACAUUACAUUGGCGACGAGAAUUAAAAAUCCAAUCCAAGAGGGUCGUCAGGAGCCUGCUGUUUUUCCGAGGAGAAACGAAGUGGACAGACAACGGCAACAACACAGCUAAGUUAAGCUAAGCUAAACAAAGAAGCUAACAGACACGUGGAGAUCUACACACGGAGCAGGUAUGGCAGGAAACACCGCUGCCCUUCCACCCUUUGACACAGAAACUGAACCUGGCUCUGUCGGACCUCGCUGGACUAAAUAUGUGCAAAGGUUUGAGAAUUUCAUCACUGCAAUAAACAUAACUGGAGAUGCUAGGCUCAAAGCACUGCUAUUACACAUAGCAGGAGAACGAGUGCAUGACAUCUACGGUACUUUAGCAGCAGCGGAUGAUAAGUAUGCAGACGCAAAGCAGAAGUUCGCCGCUUAUUUCUCUCCCACGAAAAAUGUUCAAUAUCAAGUGUACAUUUUCAGAAAUACAGCUCAAGAACCGGGAGAAAAUCUGGACAGCAACCACACCAGAUUGAGGAUGUUAUCUAACAACUGUGAGUUUGCAAAUGCUGAAGAAGAAAUAAAAACGCAAAUCAUUCAAAGCUGUGCAUCAUCAAGACUGCGCAGGAAAGCACUGAGAGAGCCUGAUCUAAGUCUGCACAGCUCCUUGACCAUGGACGAACACUAGAACUGUCCGAAAUGCAGGCAACUGGCAUAGAGAGAGGCACAACAGCAACUGUCAACGCAGUGGGUCAAAGGAAUGCAAAGAAGUAUCCAGAUAACGAAUAAUCGUUGCAGGAACUGUGGAGGUAAUUAUCCCCAUGAUAAUGAAUGCCCUGCCAAAGGUAAACAAUGCAGAGCCUGUGGCAGGCAGAAUCGUUUUGCAAAGCAGUGCCGUUCAAAACCCAAAGACACAUAUAUGAAGAGACCACAAAGCAGAGUGAACUGGCAACCAAAGAAAGUUCAUAAUAUAACUGAGACUGCUCCAGAUGAGGAAAAAGCGCACGACGCUUAUGUUUUUGCAGUAGAUGCUAAAGAAACCUCAGAACUGCCACAGACCCACAUAAAGCUUAAUGGCAACAGAAUGCUUGUCUUGAUAGAUUCAGGGGCCACAGCCAACUGUAUCAGUGAAGUCAAUUUUCAAAAACUGAAGCCCCGCCCACAACUCAGUCCCACUAAAACUUUCCAAACUGGAUCUGAGAGCUGGAUACCAUCAGCUGGAGCUUCAUCCAGACAGCAGGUGUCCUGUCACCUGGAGGCCAACAUCACCCGGUGUAUCUAUGGCCAGAAGGGUUUCGAGGAUCACACCUUUGAGGAGAUGUGGGGACUGUACAGCCAGUACCACGCCCUCAAAAAUCACCCCAAGGACUUCACUCCGGAGCAGAGGGAGGUGGUGCUGAAGGCCCACAGCUCCACGCCGAGGUGGCUGAACACCCCGGUGACCCACAUCACCAGCUUCCAGAUGAAGAGGUUCAGGAAAUUCAUCAGGGACAAGGAGCAAAGACGCAGUCCAGUGUCCGGCUGCCGCAGACGCUCUCCACUGUCCGGCCGCAGUAGACGCAGUCAGUCAGUCCAAGUCUUCAAAGACAUUUCUGGUCGGAUGAAGAUGCGACGGGUGAUGAAAUUGGACCGAAUGUGGUUUUACCCACCAGAACCCCCCGGCUACAUCAGUGGAGGUCUUCCCAACCCACAGGUCUUCUUUCGGAGCCGUUAUAGUCCCUGCAAACACAGCAGUUAUUAGCGGGAGCGCUUCAUAAAGAAAACAAGAUAUUUUAUCCUGUUCCAUUAACAAGAUUUGAAAGGAAAGCAAGUCCUUCUGCCGCUAUGAAAUACCUGGCUCUGUCUUUGGUGCUGUGUGCACUGAUAUUCAUGUCAAAUGCACAAUGCUACAAUAGGGCUUUGACACCAGGCAUGACCCACUGCCAGGAUUCUGAUAUGACAUGGCAUGCAGUAGGAUCUAAAUGGAGAAGCCAUUGUUGGGACUGUACUUGUGAUAGAUGUUGUGCUGGGUAUGUAACCCCAGGAUCUUUCCCAGAUGACUGUGUCUCAGUAUUUGAUCCGGUGGCAUGUGAAUACAAUGUGCACAAAAGAAAUAAUCCAAAUAAACGAUGUAUGAUUUAUAGUGGAGUAGGAAAGUGAGAGAGAUGACUCAAGCUUUAUUUAUAAACAGACUGCUUCAAAUGUAAUGUCAAAUAAACAAAGAAAAAUAUAUGCUUUUUUUUUUUUUUUUUGCAUGUCUUAGUAAAAGCAAGAUUGUUUUCAAAUGAGAAGGUUUCUCAGCUUGGGCUGUAGAAAGUUUGCUUACCAUUCACUUAAUCUGCCUGUUGUGAGUCCCCAUAUGUUUUGCAAGUGCAAUAAAAUAAGUUUUAAAAUUCAAAA